rnacentral:rRNA from 1 species
GUCCUCAGCCACACCACCCUGAGUGCUUCCAAUCUUGUCUGAUCCCAGAAGCCAAGCACAGUUAGGGCUGCUUGGUACCUGAAUGGGAGAAAAUGGAGCAGAGAUGAUGGGAACC